rnacentral:rRNA from 1 species
GAUGAACGCUAGCUACAGGCUUAACACAUGCAAGUCGAGGGGAAACGAUAUUGGAAGCUUGCUUCCGAUAGGCGUCGACCGGCGCACGGGUGAGUAACGCGUAUCCAACCUGCCCAUCACUUGGGAAUAACCUUGCGAAAGUAAGACUAAUGCCCAAUGACAUUUAUAGAAGGCAUCUGAAAUGAAUUAAAGAUUUAUCGGUGAUGGAUGGGGAUGCGUCUGAUUAGCUUGUUGGCGGGGUAACGGCCCACCAAGGCGACGAUCAGUAGGGGUUCUGAGAGGAAGGUCCCCCACAUUGGAACUGAGACACGGUCCAAACUCCUACGGGAGGCAGCAGUGAGGAAUAUUGGUCAAUGGACGAGAGUCUGAACCAGCCAAGUAGCGUGCAGGAUGACGGCCCUAUGGGUUGUAAACUGCUUUUAUAAGGGAAUAAAGUGAGUCUCGUGAGACUUU